rnacentral:rRNA from 1 species
AUUGAACGCUGGCGGCAUGCUUUACACAUGCGAGUCGAACGGUAACAGGCCGCAAGGUGCUGACGAGUGGCGAACGGGUGAGUAAUGCAUCGGAACGUGCCCAGUCGUGGGGGAUAACGCAGCGAAAGCUGCGCUAAUACCGCAUACGAUCUAUGGAUGAAAGCGGGGGACCGUAAGGCCUCGCGCGAUUGGAGCGGCCGAUGUCAGAUUAGGUAGUUGGUGGGGUAAAGGCCCACCAAGCCAACGAUCUGUAGCUGGUCUGAGAGGACGAGCAGCCACCAUGGGACUGAGCCAAGGCCCAGACGCCUACGUGAGGCAGCAGUGGGGAAUUUGGGACAAUGGGCGCAAGCCUGAUCCAGCAAUGCCGCGUGAAGGAAGAAGGCCUUCGGGUUGUAAACUGCUUUUGUACGGAACGAAACGGUCCUGGUUAAUACCCGGGGCUAAUGACGGUACCGUAAGAAUAAGCACCGGCUAACUACGUGCCAGCAGCCGCCGUAAGAC